AUACGUAGGUGACAAGCGUUAUCCGGAUUUACUGGGCGUAAAGGGCGUGUAGGCGGUCUUGCAAGUCAGAAGUGAAAUUCCUGAGCUCAACUCGGGCGCUGCUUCUGAAACUGCAGGACUUGAGUGCUGGAGGGGAUAGCGGAAUUCCUAGUGGAGCGGUAAAAUGCGCAGAUAUUAGGAAGAACACCGGUGGCGAAGGCGGCUGUCUGGACAGUAACGGACGCUGAGGCGCGAAAGCGUGGGGAGCAAACAGGAUUAGAUACCCUGGUAGACCACGCCGUAAACGAUGAAUACUAGGUGUGGGGGGUAUCGACUCCCUCUGUGCCGCAGUUAACACAAUAAGUAUUCCGCCUGGGGAGUACGGCCGCAAGGUUGAAACUCAAAUGAAUUGACGGGG
rnacentral:rRNA from 1 species